rnacentral:lncRNA from 1 species
GGCAGCGUGGCGUCCCAAGCUCACUGCUCCCAACUCUGCCUCCGUAGCCAGGCGGGCCCGGAGUCUGCCCUUGUGAUGAACGGUUUGAAAGGUCCACAAGCGGGUGAGAGGCGACGCGGUGAUUGCCAGUUGCCCUCGCUUGGUCUCCGAGUGCAGCUGGAUCCAGCCUCAUCUCGGACGUCCCCAUACCCAGCUCCUGAGUCCUCAAACUUCUCUGUCUCUCAAGGUUGGGACUGUGGGGUCCCAACGCUACGGAGGCGCCACCCGAGAAGGUAGGAUCAGUGAACCGCUGUAGUCGGGGCCCUGAGAGAGGUUUGUCUACUUGUUUGUGCAUGAUAAUUGGGCGGGUCUGACAGGCGUGUCUACACCACGGUUCUACGACCUGACCUCUCCUCCUCUAACCAAAGUGAAAAUAGCCAUGUUCCAUCCCAGGGCUUCCUGCUCACUCCUCAGUCUUCUCCCUAGUCUCCAAUUCCUUUGCUUAUUUUACGGCUUAAAUAAGCUUAAUGGCUUAUAGAAGCGAGCACCCCCUGGCUGUAUUAACAUCCCUACUUGCUAAAUAUAACUUGGCUGACCAUAAAACUGUCGGUGGAAUUUGGACCUAAUGGAUCUGGUUUUCAUCUUCUGGAAAACGAAGGGUUCCGACAAUGGCUUACCUCUAAGGUCCAGCCUAGAUGACUAGAGACAUCCAAAAUCAAUACUGUAGUUUUUGGACUAUUCAACUACUCUACUCUGAGUCUCUGUAGCAAUUGCAGUAGUAGCACGAAGCAUAAUUAUCAAUUUAUCGUUUGGCUUCUAAAUGAAUUGCUGAAGCUGUUUUACCCCAAGAGAGCCCCUGAAAGUACUUUUUAAAAGUAAAUCUGAGACUGGGCUCAGUAGUGCUUGCUGGUGUGUAGUCCCAACUACUCAAGGAGGCCAAGGCAAGAAAUUUGCUUGAGCCAAAGUUCAAGAACCAUUUGGGCAACAGGGAGGCAUGCCAUCAUGAAUGAAUGAAUGAAUGAAUGAAUGAAUGAAUGAAUGUGUCUGAAAAUGUCUUUUGAUUUGUUUCCUCCUAAAAAUCAAAUACAAUGAUCCCAAAAUCCAGUUAAAUAAAUAAAUGAAUCUGAAAGUGUCUUUUGAUUUCUUUCAUUCUCCUAAAAAUCAAAUACAAUGAUCCCAAAAUCCAGUUCAUUAUUUUUUUUUCCUAAUUGAAGUGGUUUGGGAUUUUUUUUUUUAAUCUCCAGAGAACAACAGCAGCACUGCUUUUUAAUUGUUAAGAGUUUACCAGAACUGAGUUCCAACACCUUUGUAGGGGCUCCAUUGCAAUCAUUCCAGAACUUCAAAGCUUUCUACCCAAACCCUCUAAUUAAGCUACAUCUCAGUGUUUCUCUCCAUUCUUUGCCCUGUCGAGUGGCAUUUGUGCCACUUAGAACUUAGGACUGGCUUCUUUUACCCAGUAUACCUUCAGGACUCUCCUUGCUGGGCUUUGGGUAAUAACAACAGUAACAGAAGGAGUUGUAGUAAUUGUAAUUCUACUAGGAGAUAAGUGCUGCUAUUAUUUGUUAUUAACCAUUCUGUUAUUUUGAACAAUUACUCUAUGAGGUAGAGGAGAUUUUUAUCCUCAAUUUAUAGCUGAGGAACUAAAUCAGAAAACAAUUAAGAAAAUGGCUCAACAUUAUCCAAUCUGCUAAGAUUUGAACAUAGUUCGUCUGACUUUAAAUUCUGGGCUCUGACAUUACGUUGUUCUAUAAAGGAGGAAAUGUACAAAAUUUAUAUCUAGACACUUUUAAAUGAUUUUAAGUGAUAGAUGAUCUUUCAAAACAUUUUAUACACAGUUGAGGCUAUGCAAUAAAAUAUUGUGCCUUCAUUAUGUUGUUUCUCCAUUAAGUUCCUUCAGGAUGAAGGAUGAUGAUUAAUGAGCUCAUUCUCUUUUACCACAGUGCAGGGCCUGAACAUGUAGCUGUCUAUCUAUGCAUUCAUUCUUUGCCUAUUAGAAGACAAGGUAGUUUAUAAAAACAAAAAGUACAAAAGGAUAGAAUAUUUUCAUAUUGAAUCACAUUGAACAGCAGAGCUCCAGUUCAAUUCUUUGCUUUGCUUUCUCCUUUCCUUCUGAUAGACAAUACAUGCAAAGUCCCUAUACUCAUGAAAUUCAGUCUAGUAAGGAAGGCAGGCAAAGAAUGAAUGAAUACAUGCAUGCAUAUAUGAAAUUAUGAUAAUCCCAUGUUUGGCUUCAUAAGAGACCUCCAUUUUUCUUAAAGUUGCUGAGAGCCACAGCUGAGUCGGAAUGGCCCCUGGCAUUUUGCCAAUAGUAUUGGUUGACAGGUGAGGCAUUACUAUCUGCCUUGGCCGCUACUUUGGAGUUCUCACGCUACUUUGAAGUUCUCGUGGGGAUUCAUGGGGAUUCCAGGAGAGUUCCCAUUGGUUGGGGAAGUGCAGGAGGAAGGAUUUCCGGAGGAGAUAUUUCCGGUGGCGGGUUCCUGGAGGAGCCACGUGGUUUUGGGGAGAGUUCCCGGGGAGCAUGUGUGGAGUGUGCUGGUGGAGUUCAGAAAUAAAGUUUGUUCCUGCUUCAGUGGCUAGUGAUUUGUGCCCAGCCAGACUGCGGCAUUUGGCAGCCCGUGUGGGGAACGCCUGAAGCUCCGGGGUAAGUGAAAUUGCUCACCCCUAAGGGAAGGUGAGAGAAUGGGUGACCAUUUCAAAAAACAAUGUGUUCUUGUUUUGAUUUGUUUUGUUUUUGUUUCAAGCUGCCUAUCCCUAGAACUUUCUCAGGCAAACUGGGAAAAAUGGUUAGCUCAAGGUUUGAAGUUGUUCACUCCUGAGGAAGAGAUAGAAAUAGACCACAAAUGCACAUGUCAAGAAAAUAGGAAAAUUGAUACAACGAUUUUUUGUUCCGUUUUUGUUUCAUUCUGUUUCGGUUUUGUUUUGUGUUAUCUUAUUGGGUUGCGUUAUCUUUAUAGUAGAUUAGAAAUUAGUAAAAAACAAACCGAAAGAGUGUUAAGUAAAUUGUUAGAGGUUCAGACCAUGGAGGAAGACAUUUUAGAUCAAGUAAAAGAGAAGGUCUCUCAAGCUAGUCAGAUAGAGGAAGAAAAUUUAAAGGAAGAAAGCUUAGAGGAGAAACAGCUAUUAGGAAAAAAGCUACAACAGGAGGCUGCUACUAACACCGUUCUAUCACCAGAGGGCGUAAUUCAAUCAGCAGCUCCACCUAUGGAGACAGCUGAGUGGCCCUCAACCCCCGUAGUUGAUAGAUGGGAUCCUGAGACAGGACCUCAAAGAUUAGCAUGCCCUGUACUUGAGCAGGCAGGAGGGCAGCGAAUUCACCGUGCUUUAGAUUUCAAAACAGUGAAGCAGUUAAAGGAGGCUGUAACAACCUAUGGUCCUCAAGCACCGUUCACUGUAAGCAUGGUCGAAUCCAUUACCAACUUGGACAUGACGCCAGCAGAUUGGGCUAGUAUGUGUAAAUCUGUGCUAAAUGGAGGACAAUAUUUGUUAUGGAAGGUUGCCAAUGAGGAAUUUUGCAGGGAGACAGCUAGACGAAAUGCAGCAGCCGGUUACCCUCAAAGAAAUCUAGAUAUGUUGUUAGGAAAAGGACCUUAUGAGGGUCAACGGCAACAAAUUGAAUAUGAUCCUGGCGUAUACGCACAAAUUGCUGUAGAUGCGGUUAGGGCAUGGAAAACUUUACAGGGGCAUGGAGGUUUACAAGGUCAAUUAUCUAAGGUAAUACAAGGAACUAAUGAACCUUACGCUGAAUUUGUAGAUAGGCUUAUUCAAGCAGCUUCCAGAAUUUUUGGGGAUACAGAACAGGCAAUGCCAUUUAUAAAACAACUGGCUUAUGACCAAGCAAAUCGUUGUUGCAGAGAGGUCAUUAGACCAUGGAGACAUGAAGAUUUAAACACAUAUAUUAAAUUAUGUAGAGACAUUAAUGAACAAGGGCAAGUCUUAGCAGCAGUACAACAGGCUUUAGAUGCCAGGCCAAAAACAUGCUAUAAUUGUGAUCAAACAGGACAUUUUAAAAGGAGUUGCCCCAUAGGAGGAGGGUUUAACAAAGCUAGAUAUCAAACGAAUAGAAUACCGGGUAUUUGCCCACGAUGCCGUAGAGGGAAACAUUGGGCUAAUGAAUGCCGUUCUCAAACCACCAUAGAGGGUAUUCCGUUAUCAAAAAACAGACAAGGACCAAGUGUUUACCCACGAUAUCGUGGAGAAAGGCAUCGAGCUCCAUUGCCAAAAAACGGACAGGGGGGCCCAAUGCUCCGGGGCCCACGACCACAAAUGUACGGGGCACUGGAGGAACCCAGAAACACCAUGGAGGAACCCAGCAACACCAUCAGGGUAGUGCCCAGGACACAUUAUCCAUCAGAUCUCUCAUCAGACGAACCAGAGGAAGCGCAGGGUUGGACAUCUGCGCCUCCGCCAGAGCAGUACUAACUCCAGAGAUGGGAGUUCAAAUCAUUCCCACAGGAGUAAAAGGACCUCUUCCCCAAGGAACAGUAGGCUUAUUGUUAGGACGCAGUUCUUCUAUGCUAAAAGGACUUAUGAUAAGUCCCGGGGUAAUUGAUCCCGAUUAUGAAGGUGAAAUAAAAAUUAUAGCUAGUUCUCCAAAGGGUAUAUCAGUAAUUUCACCAGGAGAUAGAAUAGCACAGUUAUUAAUAAUACCCAGCCUACAUGAUAAAUUUUCCAGUAGUAGUAUAGAAAGAGGUUCCAGGGGAUUAGGCUCCACAGGUGUAGAUUGGGCUAUGCUGUCUUUAAAUUUAGAUUCUCGUCCCAUGCUAAAACUAAAUAUUCAAGGACAUGAAUUUAAUGGACUACUGGAUACAGGUGCAGACCUUAGCAUCAUAUCUCGUCAAGAAUGGCCAAAACAUUGGCCGUUACAACAAGCCACUCAAACGCUUCGAGGCCUAGGAGUGGCGACUAAUCCCCAUAGAAGUGCAAUGGUAUUAGAUUGGAAGGAUCCUGAAGGAUGUGAAGGAACUAUACAGCCAUAUGUAUUGGAUCAUCUUCCUAUAAAUUUAUGGGGACGAGAUGUCCUAGAUCAAUUAGGUUUGACAUUAACAAAUAACAUCAAUCCAAAUGCGCCCACUAUUAGGGCUAGACAAGGUUUCAGGAAAGAAAAAAGAUUAGGAGAACAAGGCAUAGCAGCACCAAUUCAAAUAGAUCAGGGAAUAAAUAGACAUGGACUGGGUUUUCAGAAGGGGUCACUGAGGCAAUAAAAAUUACUUGGAAAUCAGAUAGACCAGUAUGGGUUCCUCAGUGGCCCCUGACUAAAGAAAAGAUACAAGCAGCCCAUGACCUGGUCAAACAACAAUUAGCGGAGGGACAUAUACAACCUUCCGUAUCUCCUUACAAUACUCCCAUUUUUGUCAUUAAAAAGAAAUCUGGUAAAUGGAGNUUUAAUAGCUUUAUUCACUCAGUAAUAUCUGAGUGCCUUUAAAGUCAUGUAGGAUCCAUACUCCAAACCAAUUUCUUCUCUUAAGAAACUUCUAUCAUGGUUGUGGUCAUACUAACACUCUAGUCAUAAUCUGUCUACACAUUUAUUAUGUGCUUUUCCUCUACCUGCUUCUUAGGUGUCACUUCUCAGGACUCUAUCUUUGGCCUUAUAUUAUUCUAUAUAAAUGAUGACAACCAUUCUCCCUUCAUUUCUAUAUCCCCAGAGCUUAGUUCAGACAUAUUUCAUACAUAAGAGGUGCUCAUCAAAAUUUGUUUCUUUGUGUUAAGCAUGCACUCUACCACUGAGCUACACCCCCAGCCCAAAUGUUUGUUUGAAUAGACUUUGAAUAUUGCAUGAAAAUUAGAAACUAUCACUAUUUUUGUUUCCCCACCGUCACAGGGACUGUUUAAAGGCAUCAGGUGAGUCAACCCUAUUCCAAAAGCUAGAGAGUGUACUUAGUAGAGAUUCAAAGGGAUAAUUAAAUGAGUGCCAUGAAGUUAAUGUUAACCAUAUCAAUCAAUAGUCAUGAAUAUAGAGUGUACAUCUUCAGACUGCUCUUUCUGGAUACCAUGACUCUGAUUUGAACAAGUCCAACUUGAUGGAGAGGAGAUUUAAGGUAGCACAAGGCCAACAUACUGCUCAAAUGCCUGGAGGAGAAGAAUAAACAUAGAGAUGAAAAUAAUAUUGCAAAUUUUAAAUUUUACCUGUAUUUUGUGGCACACACCUGUAAUUCCACAACUCUGGAGGCUGAGGCAGGAGCAUCAAAAGUUUGAGGGCAGCCUCAGCAACAUAGCAAGACCCUGACUCAAAAUAAAAAAAUAAAAAGUACUAAGUAUGUAGCUCAGUGACUCUAUCAAUCCCCAGUACAAAAAACAACAACAACAAAAAAAUGUGUUCUAAGUUACUGCAUUUUCCCUGAAGUCAGUGAACUUUGUAAAUAAGCAUCAGUAUUUGAGGGUUUAUGUCAUUUUUUAAUUAAUUAAAAGCCCUCAGAGAUAGUCCAUCUAAGUCCCAGUGAGCUCUUAUCAGCCUUAGAGGACAUCUUGUCAGCUGUCCCUUUAGAAGAAACAUCAAUUCGUUUCUAUAGCAUCCUUCCUAAGUGCCAGCUCUGUGCUAAACUCUUUAUCCAGAUUACUCCAGUAUAUCUUUAAAGGAAAAAAAAAAAAUAUAUAUAUAUAUAUAUAUAAACACAAUACCUUUAUUUAUUUUUAUGUGGUGCUGAGGAUCAAAUCCAAUGCUUCACACAUGCUAGGCAAAUGCUCUACCGCUGAGCCACAACCCCAGCCCCUCUUCCUUCCAUCUUGACAAUAAUUUAGUGAAUUUAUUUCCUUUGUGGUCCCCAUUUUUCAGAUGGAAGAACUGAAGCUUAAAGAGGUUAACUAAUUUUCCCAGACUCACUUGGACCAUGUGAAAACAGUUUCUCUCACCAAGAGACAGAACCCUUGAGUGUUAUACCAUAUUGCCUACCAGGGAAUUCAGUAUUAGGAAGAGAAGUUAAGGGGAGACUUCCCAAGUAAUGAUAAAGCUGGACUGUCUCCAUCAAGGGCUGGGAUCUCCCAUCUAGGUUUUUCUUUCCCCAGGUGCAAAUUGGGUGGAGCAUUGCAAUCCACAAGGAUCCCGGAGUUAGAAAGGAGAGGAGGGUUCUAAAUAUAAAGGUGAUGUUCCCUCUGUCCUUCAGGUACCACAGGACUAUGGAAAUUUGUGGAAUGAAAGUACCUCUCAGGAGAGCUCAUCUUAAAUUUCCUUUAUUAAGUCUCGCCCACGUCCCACGCAGGAAAUGGGGUUCCUCUGGGUAGAAUGGGCUGGCUGAGAAAUAAAAGGUAGGAAAAAUAGAACAACGAAAAAACUACAGAACACAGAAAAUAUUUUCAAAAAGCAGAGGUGGAGUGGGCUAGCCAAUCAUGUAGAUCUAUACUAAUGGCAAAAUGAAGCCUGCGCCUGCGUCAUUAUAUUGGGGGAUAUCAAAGGCCUUUCAUAGAAUGUUCUCCAAAAAAAGUUACAGGUGGGCUGUCCAGUUCCCAACGUGUUACUCCCAUCUCCCCAGCGACCAUGAGAGAUCGUUAUAGCAGAGGGAAGAUAAAGGUCGUGCCAAGGAUAUAGUUCCCCAAGGUUCAACCUAAAAUCUCCCUGGCUACAUGCCAAGACAAGAUCCUCAUGUGUUUUCCACGGAUGGCUCCCCACAGUUAAGGCCUAUUUAAUUCAUUCUUUCAUUUAUCUUAGAAUUUGGUUUUCUACAACUGGUUUCCCCCAAAAGAUGCCUCACUUUUCUGAUAGACUUUGACUCUCUGUGAGCUUCUCAGGAGGAGAAUCAAGUUAAUAACAAACUGUCAGGGUUCCCCAAAAAGCAAAGCCUGAGACAAAAGUAUAUGUACUACUGCUUUAUUCAGGAGCAUAAGUCCAUGUGAAGGAGACAGAUUUUUAAAAACAGAAAUACAAAAUAAUGAAGUCUGGCUCUUAUUGUUCACAGUCUUGGCCCUGAAUUUUGUAUGCCAGAAAUCCUUAGGUAUGUAAUUAUAAAAAUUUGAAACAUCUAGCUUGGAGUGUGGGGCCAAGUGUUAAGAGGAAGCAACAAGUGAGUUGUUACUUAUGGAAAAUUUAAAUGUGACCUCUUCCAUGUUUAAAAAACAAAACCCUUAAGGCCUUUUCUCUACAAUUAGAAUGGUAUUUAUCCAGAUAUUGCAGGAAAUCGUGUCUUAUUCUUGGGUAGCUUAGAAAGGCAAAAAUCAUAGAGAAAACAUUUUAACUUUCAAGCAUUAAUUAAUGCACAAGGGAAUUUUAUGAGUAAAAAACAUACUUAAAAUGUAUCUUCAGGUAAAAUCAAACAUCAAUUUAUAGGUAUUUGUUUAAAUAAUACUUUAUUAAAAUACCAUGUCUUGAAAUUUCAUAUUGCUCUAAACUCACACUCUAGAAAGUAUUGUUUUAUGGCACCAAUAAAUUGGAAUGUAGCUGAGAGUUUGAUUUAUAUAUCAUGUUUUAUUUUGUUGAAGUAGGGGAGAGAAGUGGUGUUGUAAACAUGAGCUAAGAUGAAUUUAUGAUUUCUAUGGUCAGCUCACCGGGAGAGGAGAGUCCUCAGCCAGCUGCUGAUCAGAUUUGAAUCUAGAUCUAGAGUCCAAGUUAGGUGAAAUCAAACAUGUAAAAGAAUUAGAGGGUUAGUUAAUACCAGGCUGUUCUUCCAUGGAAAAUCUUUUCUCUUUUGGUACCAGGGAUUGAACCCAGGGGUGUUUAACCACUGAGCUACAUCCCUGGCCCUUUUUAAAUUUUUUUAUUUGGUCUCCCUGAGUUGCUUAGGGCCUUGCUAAGUUGCUGAGGCUGGCUUUUGAACUCCAGAUCCUCCUGCUUUAACCUCCUGAGCUGCUGGGAUUACAGGCAUGGGCCAUCACCCCUGGCAGCAAAAUCAUUCCUAUAGCUCUUUUUACAUGAGAAAGGGAAGGAGUAAUUUCUCUAGAUUUUUCAAACUCCAUAUUGUAGUCCAGAAGAAAGAGGUUUUGUUAGGAUGUAAUUAAUGCUAAUAAAUAUAAAAACAAAUAAAUACUUAAUAACCUACUGACAGACUGAGUUCUGUGUUGUUUUAUUUCUAUUUUAAAUUUAUACAAGAGUUUAGAAACUUAUGAAGUAAAUAUUUUAUUUUGUGCAGGAAUUACCUAGACAAGACAGAUGCUACAAAG